CCUUAACCUCAGUAGUUAGAACAACAAAACUACUCGCCAGAAUACUACAAGCAAUGGCUUGAAACUCAAAGGACUUGGCGGUGCUUCACACCCCCUAGAGGAGCCUGUCCCGUAAUCGAUAAACCCCGAUCCACCCUACCCUCUCUUGCUUAGCCUAUAUACCGCCAUCUUCAGCAAACCCUGAUAAAGGCUACAAAGUGAGCGCAAAUGUCCCUUUCACAAAAACGUUAGGUCAAGGUGUAGCCCAUGAGAUGGUAAAAGAUGGGCUACAUUUUCUACUUCAGAAAACCCUACGAUAACUCUUAUGAAAUCUAAGAGCCCAAGGAGGAUUUAGCAGUAAAUUAAGAAUAGAGUGCUUAAUUGAACUAGGCCAUAAAGCACGC
rnacentral:rRNA from 1 species